UACGUAGGGUGCGAGCGUUAAUCGGAAUUACUGGGCGUAAAGCGUGCGCAGGCGGUUUUGUAAGCCAGAUGUGAAAUCCCCGGGCUUAACCUGGGAAUGGCAUUUGGGACUGCAAGGCUUGAGUGCGGCAGAGGAGACUAGAAUUCCUGGUGUAGCAGUGAAAUGCGUAGAUAUCAGGAGGAACACCGGUGGCGAAGGCGGAUCUCUGGGCCUUACCUGACGCUCAGGCGCGAAAGCUAGGGGAGCGAACAGG
rnacentral:rRNA from 1 species